GGGCCAGACCGGCCUUGCGCGGUGUAGUGCUGAGCGGCGGCCCCUGCGGUACCUACACUGUCAGGUUCUUGCUGCUCCUUCUCAUGGCGGCGGCGGCGCUGCGGGCGAGGCCUCGGCCGACACGGGCGGCGUACCGGGCAAGCGGCUCAAGAUGCAGUACGCCACGGGGCCGCUGCUCAAGUUCCAAAUCUGCAUGAGGAUGAACCACCUCAGAAUAUGAAACCGCCAUUAUCUAAGACAGCUCUGAAAAAUCAAAGAAAACAUGAAGCCAAGAAAGCUGCCAAGCAGGAAGCCAGAAACGAAGGCAGUCAGGAUUUGGCCCUUAAUCCAGCUCCACAGCAGAACCCCCCACGGAAUGUCUCUCUGCCAACAUCGGGAGACCCUGAGGUAGACAAAAAAAUCAAGAACCUGAGAAAGACUUCUCUCUGGGUAUAGAUGGCUCUCUUCUUCACAAGAUCAUUGGAACUGGCCUUAGUCAUCUCACUGUUGAAAAGUCACGUCUGUCAGAAUCGGUCCUCAUAUAAUCUUCUUGUUGCCAUGUACAAUAAUCUGGUUCUCCUCAUUUCACAUCUGUUCAUAAAGUGAACAAUUGAAAGAAUAAGCAGCUCGUGGUAAACAGCUUGAGAAAAAUCAGAUGGAGAAGAUCCAGAAAGAAAGUGCCCUCCUACAGGAGCUGGAAGACUUGGAGUUGGGUGUUUGAAGUGUGGAAAAUCAGUUACCUGAAAUCAGUGCAAAUACAUUCUCUGUAUUAAACUUAGUAGAAUAAUUAAAUUUUUUUGUUUCAAA